rnacentral:rRNA from 1 species
UACGUAGGGUGCAAGCGUUGUCCGGAAUUAUUGGGCGUAAAGAGCUCGUAGGCGGUUUGUCGCGUCUGCUGUGAAAACUCGGGGCUUAACCCCGGGCCUGCAGUGGGUACGGGCAGACUAGAGUGCGGUAGGGGAGACUGGAAUUCCUGGUGUAGCGGUGAAAUGCGCAGAUAUCAGGAGGAACACCGGUGGCGAAGGCGGGUCUCUGGGACGGUACUGACGCUGAGGUGCGAAAGCGUGGGGAGCAAACAGG